rnacentral:rRNA from 1 species
AUUGAACGCUGGCGGCAGGCUUAACACAUGCAAGUCGAGCGGAGAUGAGGUGCUUGCACCUUAUCUUAGCGGCGGACGGGUGAGUAAUGCUUAGGAAUCUGCCUAUUAGUGGGGGACAACAUUCCGAAAGGAAUGCUAAUACCGCAUACGCCCUACGGGGGAAAGCAGGGGAUCUUCGGACCUUGCGCUAAUAGAUGAGCCUAAGUCGGAUUAGCUAGUUGGUGGGGUAAAGGCCUACCAAGGCGACGAUCUGUAGCGGGUCUGAGAGGAUGGGCCGCCACACGGGGACUGGGACACGGCCCAGAGUCCUACGGGAGGCAGCAGUGGGGAAUAUUGGACAAUGGGCGGAAGCCUGAUCCAGCCAUGCCGCGUGUGUGAAGAAGGCCUUUUGGUUGUAAAGCACUUUAAGCGAGGAGGAGGCUACCUGGAUUAAUACUCUAGGAUAGUGGACGUUACUCGCAGAAUAAGCACCGGCUAACUCUGUGCCAGCCGCCGCCGUAACAC